UACGAAGGUGGCAAGCGUUGUUCGGAUUUACUGGGCGUACAGGGAGCGUAGGCGGUUGGAUAAGCCCUCCGUGAAAUCUCCAGGCUUAACCUGGAAAGUGCAGAGGGGACUGUUCAGCUAGAGGAUGGGAGAGGAGCGCGGAAUUCCGGGUGUAGCGGUGAAAUGCGUAGAUAUCCGGAGGAACACCGGUGGCGAAGGCGGCUUCCUGGACCGACACUGACGCUGAGGCGCGAAAGCUAGGGGAGCAAACGGG
rnacentral:rRNA from 1 species